UACAGGUUUGCAAAAACUUGAGUGGGAGUAAAUGAUGACAGAAUUUUCAUUUGUGGGUGAACUAUCCCUUUAAUAUUAUUAAUAAACUAUAUAUUAAUGUGGAAAGUUGCUACGUUGUUUUUCAAAGCUACAGUUAGGCUAAUUAAUUUAAUUAGCAAAUGGAAUAAAAAGGAAUUAAAGCAAAUGGAAUAAAUGUUUAUUCUUAUGAUUAAUAUAUGGAACUAUGCAUAACAUUUGUUGUCUUUUAUCAUAAAAAAGCAAUAAUCCAAGACAGGCUGUGCAUUACAGGCUUAUUGCAUCAUUAUAUAAAUAACCUGAAACCAAGUUCUGUCAUAAUACUGAGGAAAUGUAUGCAGUAGCAUUAUGAUAUUUCAGGGUCGGAGUCUUUUUGACUGAUUUUCUAGCCUGGAAAACAGCAUUUUGAAAAUUUCUGAUUUUUAUAUGUUUUUCAUGAUUUGGGGAACCCCAAUACUAGUAGUAGUACCAAAUGGAAAAUGCCCAAACCAGUUUUUAUUAAAUAAUUUACAUUUAUAUUCUAAUAUUGCUUUAUUAUUUUUAUUAUUACUAACUCGCCCACUCAAAUAAAGUAAAACAUACAUUUCUGAAUCAGAAUUAUUUUUUUCAAAUCUUGCUUUAUCAUUAAUUACUAUUAAAAACAAUCACAUAAAGGAAACAUGCAGAGAGGGUUAAAAUAGAGUUGUUCCAGCGUCAUUUGCAUAACAAUGACAGCAACAACCCGCGCUGGUCUCUGACACGCCCCCCCCCGAGCAUCGCUUCAGAAAAUGAACAGGAUCAAAAGACGCCAAUAAUGACGCAACAUCCCCUUGCAGCAAGAUCUCAAGUGUCCAAACUCCAAACAGUCCUUAUGAGCUUUUCUCCUGCCUUUCAAUGGCUGUGGCGCUCUACAAGUCUCAACUUCACCUGGCAUCACUCACAAGGUUUCACUGACAGCUACAAAGACUGGAAUUUGUGGCCGUUGAUCCGGUAGCAUAACAGUACUUAUUUUUUUUUUUUUUUUUUUUUUUUUUUUUACAAAGCAAUGUCUAAACAAAUGUCUUUAAAUUGAGUGGUUCUGUAACCCCGGCAGGCCUCAUUCGUUCCUAUGGCAACAAUUACUCCCCGUAGACUUUGCUAAUCCUGAAAUAUGGACCUGUGACUAAUGUUGGAAUUUAGCAAGAAAUCAGCUCUUGUUUCACGAGGCUUUAUUGGAAUAAAGCAUGAUGCGGUCUGUGUGAUGAAUGCGCCCAGGCAAAGUGACUGGGCUGGGCCUCUGCCUCCUUGUCUUUCACUAUCACUUUAGUGCUAGUGCUGAUUGGAAGUGUCACAGAAGCAUGUAACAAGCCUCUUCAGCUCAUUGCCAAAGAGAUAAGUUGUCAUGUCAACGGCAAUUCUAUACAACGUACGUCUGAGAUCUGCUAGAUGUGUUUUCCUUUAGAAAAGGCAUAAAGAGUUUUUUUUUUUUUUUCUUUUUCCCCAGUGUCCUUGAACUACUGUCUACUGUAACUAUAACUGAGGUGGAUGUUGAGUAAAAUGUGUAUUUUAUUUUGUGUUUGAGGAAUUUUGAACUGGCAAACAGGAACAAAGAACGUGGCAAGAAAUGCUAGCAAUUACAACAUUCUGUGGAAAAACAAAACAUAUUAAUAAUAUACAAAAUAUUAUAAUAAAUAUAAAAACAACAGAAUUUUAAGAAAAAAUCACAAUGCACACAAUUCUUUCAUAUACAAUAAAGUUGCAGGUACAUUAGUGGAAUUUAAUUUGCAGGCAAAAAAUACAUGAAGCAAAGC